rnacentral:rRNA from 1 species
AGAGUUUGAUCAUGGCUCAGAUUGAACGCUGGCGGCAUGCCUUACACAUGCAAGUCGAACGGCAGCGCGGGAGCAAUCCUGGCGGCGAGUGGCGAACGGGUGAGUAAUAUAUCGGAACGUGCCUUAGAGUGGGGGAUAACUAGUCGAAAGACUAGCUAAUACCGCAUACGACCUACGGGUGAAAGUGGGGGAUCGCAAGACCUCAUGCUCUUAGAGCGGCCGAUAUCUGAUUAGCUAGUUGGUGGGGUAAAAGCCUACCAAGGCGACGAUCAGUAGCUGGUCUGAGAGGACGACCAGCCACACUGGGACUGAGACACGGCCCAGACUCCUACGGGAGG